CCAGCCUCCUGAGUGAUUUAUCAGGUUUGCAUGGAGGAGGAGAGUCAGAGAGGGAGAAGAAGGGGGAGACAACUCCGGUAGCAGGCAGGCAGCAGUUACCAGCCGGCUGGGUGUGUUAACUCCACAUCUGACCUCUAUGGAACACAGCAGCUUCCACAGAGGGACACAUCUGCUCCUUCAACCCCGCUCCGGCUGCUUCUCGCUGGGGCUGCCGGGCUCCAGGAACCGACCCGGAUGGAGCAGGAGAACUGAGGAUUGCACUGCUUCUUGGACUAGAAAUGUCAGUCAGUGAACCGGCCGGUGGGCUCCUUCCCAAAGACUUCCACUUGGUGCCUAUCCUCAUCUGAACUCUGGUGGAUCUGAGAUGCUCCACAGCCGCCCUGGAUGAAGUCAUCUGCAGCCCUGGAGGACGGAGGCUGUGGUGGGGAGGGUUCCUGGCACCGUGAUUUGAUGCACAAAGAGAAACAAAAAUCACAUUGCCAGGGAUUUCCACUCCUUCACAGCUCAACAGGUGACUCAAAGGCACCUUUUAGUUUGUUCCUGAUGCCGUGGAGGCGACGUCGGCGAGCUCAGAUGGUUGAGCUCUCUAUGUGGAUUCUCACAUGCAAGACUGAAAAAAAAAGCAUAAAAGGGUCAUUCCAGAAUUUGAGGACAUUUGGGCUUCAAAAUUGUCGAAAAAUUUACCUUUUGCAAUCGCUUUACUAGUUUUCUGCUCCACAUUGAUCAAUGAUAGGUAUUGAUUGGCUCAGCUUCCACGUCAGUGGUAGCAUUUUUAUUCCAUGUUUAUGUGUUGUUUGCUAACCCUACUCUAAUCACAGUAACAGGGUUGCUAAUCCAUGCUAAUGUUAGCUUUUUCUCAGCAGUAGAAGCUAAAUACUGAUGACAAAAAGAAGACAUAAAAUGACAGAAACAGGACACAGAACGACAAAAACGAGACAGAAAAUGGCUAAAACAAGACAGAAAACAACAAAAACAAGAGAGAAAAUGACAGAAACGAGACACAAAAUGACAUAACCGAGAUAGAAAAUACUAAAACAAGAAAGGAAACGACAGAAACUAUAAACAAAAUGACAGAAAACAUAAGAAACAAGAUAGAAAAUGACAAAAAUGAGACACAAUGACAGAAACGACAGAAAAUGACAAAAAAGAGAAAGAAAAUUACAAAAACAAGACAGAAAAUGACAAAAACAAGACACAAAGUAAGAUAAAAAAGACAAAAACAUAAAACAGACAGAAAAUGACAAAAACAAUACAGAAAACAACAGAAAUGAGACACAAAAUGACAGAAAUAAGAGAGAAAACAGCAAAGAUAAGACAGAAAAUUACAGAAAUGAGACAGAAAACGCCAAAAACGAGACAUGAAACAACAAAACAAGACAAAAAAUGAGAAAAAGAAGACAGCAAAUGACAGAAAUGAGACACAAAAUGACAGAAAACGGCAUAAAACCACAAAAGAGACACAAUGACGGAAACAAGACACAAAAUGAGAAAAAACAUCAUUCACAGGUUCUGCUAACAUGUUGUGGGACACAUGUUCCAUCAUAAUAAUUAUUAUUUAAAAUAUUAUGUUUAUUAAAAAAUGUUCCCACAAUUACCAGAGACAUGAAUGAAAAAAUAAAACUAACAAAAAGAGAUUUACAUUUCAUUUGAACUGUUUUAUUAGAGAUCCAGUUUGGUCAUAAGGAGGCAGACAAGAACAAAAUGAUAUUUUAGGAGAAACUCCACACUUAUUUGAUAUUUUCAAACCUUUUCAGACAUUCUUUUCUCCUAAUUAUUUUUAGAUUUGAUCUCAGGAAGACUAUAUUUACACAACGACUGCAUGUUUUAGUAUUUUGUGCGUGGAUUAUUUGAAAUUUGAUGUAAAAUGUCCUCCAGUUCUGCAGCCUAUUGGCAUCUCUUCUUUCAAAGAAGCCGGGAAGUUGAUGUAAAUAAGAGCAGCUUUACACAACGGUUUUUCAGAGGCAGCUCUUGGAUUCCAGAUUCAUAAACAAGGAAAUUAUUUAGACGUGUGGCGAUGAACCUCCAGCUGCACCAGAGCAGACUUUAGGUGUGCGUGAGUCCCGGCUCCCUCCAAAGCCAGCCACCCACUUGCUAAAGGCACAGAGCUUAGCUAAUUGGUGAGCAUUGAUCCCUGCUAUGUGUUGUUCACAGUGGCUAAGUUCAGUGCCUGAGGUGAAAUAGUUGAUUCAACGACGGGGAUUUGUUCCGGUGAAUGGAAAGAACUUGAUGAUCUCAGAUAUGAAGAAGGAAAAGAAGGAGGGGGGAGAGAUUAGGUGGAAGGAGAGGCGAGGAUCACGGCUCAGGAUUCGUGUUUCCGUCCGAAUGAACGCAGAUCUCAACAGACGCCAGACAAACCCGAAACCACAUCUGUCCACAUCUGUCCCGCCUCGCCUUCUGUCUCCGGCAAGAUUCGUCGUGCACGUUAGGGAAAAAGUCUGCGGAGAGACGGUGCGACUCGGGUUUAACAUGGGCUUAAAAAUGCCAUGGAUUGUGUUGGGCUUUCAGGAAUGCGGUGCUAAAUGUCAGAGCCGUCUGGGCGUGUCGCUUCACGUCCACCUGAGUUAGCUCAGAUCUGCUGCACAUGACAGUCGAACCCGCACACGAUUAAUCGACCGGCGAGCCCUCCCACAUACAGGGAUUACUGCGCUACUGGCCAUGGAACAUCUAUCAAACAUCAGAUAAAGAAAUGUGCAGGAAGUGGCACAAAUUUAUCUCCUUUUUGUAUAAACGAAACCAAGAGUCUUUGUCUACAGACAGGUGACAAAUUAAAGGCAAAAUCAACAUAAACUCUCUCAGGAGGAUGUUGCUGCCACACCUCCUUCAGUGCCUCUUGGAUUUAUGCAUCUCUCUGUUAACUUACUGCUUAUUUUGCAGAAUAAUCAUCUAAUCUGAACAUUCAGUCUCAUAUAGGUUAGUGUGACAAACUGUAGGUCAUUAAAUUGAAAUCCAAAGUGUCCAUACACUACCUAUUUUCCACUGGAUUUGGGUCACUGUUGACUCAUGUUGUGCAUCAAACAGUUUAAAGAUUAAUCUCUCAUUUGGGGUUUUGAUGAUGGAGUGCUGUCCAAAACAAGGUCCAAAACCUCCUACAGGUGUUCAUUUAGAUUUAAAUCUGGUGAUUACAAGAUUCAAAUAACUUUUAAUGGAUCUAUUCGUGACCGUUCAACUCCUAGGGAUGUAGUCAUUGUCACUACUUGAAUCAGGAUAGAAAUGCUCCAUGAAAAGACAAAGCUGAUCGCUUUUUAGUUUGCAAUGAUCUUUUCUUCUAAAGGACUCAAACCAGACCAGGAAAAUGCACCUAGACCCCCUUUUACUGCACUGUAGAAAGUCAAUAAUUCAGGUUUUACUUUAAUUUGUCACUUAUCUGUACAUAUGUAAUACAUGUAAUCACGAAUCCUUUAGAGGUUUCAGGUUUUAUAUCAAGAAAACAUCGAGAAAAAAAAGAGCCAGAGAGAGUGUUUCAUUUAACAUGUGGAACUGUGUUUGAUGUGUGAAACUCAUUCAUUCAUAAACUGUUUAGCCAGAAAACAUGACAAGUUAGAACUGAUAAACCUUCUUUUCACUGCUAAUGUGGGAUAUCAGUGACUCAUUACCCAUUACUGAGAACUCUGAGUCAUCAAAUCGGCUUAGUGCGUAAUUCAUUCAAGCCAAAUUUUCUGAUUAUUUGUUAGUUUAGCAUUGCUCUGCUGGGUUUAGGUUUAAGUACUCAGAUUCCUGGGCUGUGCCCUCCCGUGCCUACUGAACUGGUAUCAGUGUUUUACCUGAAAACUGGCUCAGUUCAGCAGGAACAGGAGUGGAGCCUCCGAUGCCACAAAAACACAGCCGGGUUCAGGUUUCUGGUGAUCACAUGGGAGGCUCACAUGGAAACCGAAGCCUUGCAACCUGUUGGACAACAGAAGUCGGCUCCAGUUAGAGGACUGUCCUUGCUUUAUCUGCCGGAACAUGAAUGUUUCGUAAGCAGAUUUUCCAUUUUUCUGUCCUGAGCUGGCGAAUACCGUUACAAACUAAUGCAGCCGAUCCUGUGAAAAAGGGCGUCCCUCAAGGUUCUGUGCUGGGCCCACUACUAUUCACUAUUUAAAUAAAUAAUCUUGGACAGAAUAUUCCAAACUCAGGUUUUCAUUUCUACGCUGAUAACACUGUCCUGUACUGAGCAGAACCCAAACCUGCUGAGGCCUUUCAGGAUUUACAACUUACAUUUUAACCCUCCUGUUGUCUUCAUUUAUGGGCACCAAAAAUAUUGUUUCCUUGUCUGAAAAAUAAUCCAAGCAUUCAGCAAAAAAAAUCCCCAAAUUUCUGACAAUUUGCAAAACCUUCAGGAAGAAAAUUCCAUUAAUUCCUUAAAAGUUAUAUAUAUAUAUAUAUAUAUAUAUAUAUACACUGACAGUCAUUAAAAAUUUUGAGACCAUAUUUUUCAACAUAAUUUUCAUUUUGAAGCCCAAAACUGGAUUUUCUUCAUAUGAAUCAUUUGUUUAGCAUUUUGGCAUACAGAAACAAAAAUCUAAAGUUUCAAGAAUGAUUUCAAAAUAAAGAAUUUCACAAAAGAAAACGGCACCUGCCAAACACAAAGUCACAGCAGUCAAUACCGAGUAUGGCCUCCAUCUGCUUGGAUGCAGGCAGCAAUCCGUCGGCGCAUGCUUUGGACCAGGCUUCUGAUUGUGGGUUGGGAACAGCCCAUACGCCUGGAUACAUCACUGUAGCUCAAAGCGGCCUCCACCAUACCCAGUGCCCGGAGACGUUGUUCAUGUGAUAGACGCGGCAUGAUGCUGUUCACUGGACUAACAAUGGUGGCCUUUUUUGGGCCUUUAUAUAGGCCUUCAAACCCAUUCUCACAUUGUACUCACUGAGUAUUGCUUGGUGUGUAUUUGGUUCACUUUUGCAAAGUGACCAACCCAUGUGCAAUGAAUCAUGACAAAAUGACAACUCAUCAUUAUCUCAACUACCAGGGCACUAGAUCAUCUGUAAAUCCACCAUGAAUCAUUACAACCCCCCUACAAGUAGAAUUCUGCCUACAUUUCUACCUCAAAGGUUCUAUUGACUGUCAGUAUACUGUAUAUAUAUCCCCCAAAUUUGGCAAGAAAAUUCUUGUAAAUAUUUUUAAAAAAUGAGUAAAAGUCUACCAAAAAAGCCUCAAAAUAUCUAAAAUGAUUCCAUAUAUAUCAGUAAAACUUUCUAAUAUUUUCUUUAAGAACAUUCACAAAAAAUCUACCAAAAUCCAGUGAAUUUCGCUGGUUUUGGUUGAUUUUUUUAUGAAUGUUCUUAAGAAACAUUUUUUUUCUAACAAAAAAUAUUCAAAAAUUUCCCAAAAAUGUUAAAAAUGGGGACAUCAGAAGUUCCACUGUGAAAAUGUAUUUUUUUAAUCACAUUUUCAAACUUGAAAAAUUUGACCUACAGGUGGGUUAACAAGGAAACAUGGACGUCACAUCUCAGAUCUAUGGAUUCUCUGCAGUUUGUCGUCCCCAAAGUACAAUCUCAACUGGACAAGAAAGCAUGUAGGUUUUUGGCAUUUAAUGCUUGGAAUAAAUUACAAUCUGAACUUAAACUUGUGUUACGUGUGAGCAAGUUUUAAUGUUAAUUUUAUCUGUUGUUCACUGUUUUUAAUGUGACUAUGCUCCCUGUAAAGGAGAUCUCUGAUCUCAGUGGGACUAACCUGGUUAAAUAAAUGCUAAAUAAAUAAAAUUAAAAUCCUGUUUAUUCCUCUCGACGAGGCUGCAAACACCUGUCUCUCCCCUAAACUCACCUGCCUCCUCUCAGGCGUCUUUCUGUGACAUUAAAGGCCAGACUGGAGUUCACUGUGAGGUAAUCCUGGUGAAAUGUCUGCUAUGUCUGUGUAAUUGAUGUCACCCAGCAGCCCCCAUUAUCACUGAUUGGGAAUGUGUGCAAUGCUGCUUCCUCCCUGCAUUCCAGAUAAACUCACAGCCACCGAAGGGGAAUAUAAAAUAACAGAAAAAAAAUCUUUUCAUUUUUUUUUACUGUUGGUAACAAAAAGAAUCAAUUUGGAAGAAAAUACACCAUUUAAGAAUUCAUUUAUUGUGUCAUUUUUAUUUUUUCAAUAAAACAGUCCCCAACAAAUAAACUAUAUAACUUCACAUAAUGCCACUGCUUGUCACUGUUCAUUGACAGAAAACUGCAGUUUUUCUGUUAUUUUCCAGAUGUAUUUUGAAAAAACUUGAUUGUUUCUAGCUCUAAAAAAGGUUUGCUUUGCAGAGAUUCAUGACCUCAUAAGACAGAAACCUUCAUGGUGGGAAAUGAAAUUCAACACAACUGAACACUAAAAAAAAACAACAGCUGCUCUGUUUGUUUUCAGUUUCACAGCAGAUGAACUUUGCUGAAGUCAAACGGUCAGAAGUUCAGCUUUCUAUCUGAGCCGCACUUGUUGCAUCCGGCUGCAGCUCCACGGUUUCAUGCAUCAAAAUCAAAAACAAUAAAGCCACAGUUCUCAUGAAAACAGAAUCACACCCCCGCCCAGCCGGAGUCUGUCCAGACCAAAGCCUGCAGCCUCCUUUUAGUCUCCAUAGCGAUGUCAGCAUCCCUUUCAUCUUCGGGCCUCAAAGGCUGACCAGAUUUCAUGAUGUGGCCGCUUUAUUGAGCCUGAUCUGCUUUUCUUGCCCCCGUCGCCGUUCAAUCAGCGUUGUGCGGUUCUGGCCUGUGGCUGCAAGCUCGGCUGCGUAAUUUGGUUUAGAGCUGAACGGGAACAUCUGUUCUACAAAGCUGCACCUCCUUCCGGUCCUCGGGCUUCACGGAAACAAACGAGGCCGGCGGUGGGGCGUCGCAGGACCUCCAGAUCUACAGGCAACCACCUCCAGUCCCAACCAGCAGCAAUCUGAGAGGAGAAGAAAUGAGUGGAGUCACGCAGGAUUUAUUGUUCCACUGCUUUAUUGAUUUCAUAUGUUCAGGAGGAGGCUUAAAGUUUCAGGAACACCAUCAUUAUGUGAGUAGAUUUAUGUGCAGACAUUUAUCAAACAAUAAACACGGAACGAAGGAACGCUGCAAAAACUGUACAUUCAGUCCUAUUUGAAGAAAAAAUACGAUGAUGGACAACAGAGGACUCAGAAAUAGAAAGGUGCUAACUUGAAGUCAAAAAAGAUUCUUCGCAGUGAUGGUUUCACAGAAAUGGAUGCAGGUCUGACUUGUACCAUGACCAAGACUCUAACAUUCAUUCAGACAUGAAGCCGAUACGCUCAGAUGCUCUCAGAUUCUAGAUCCUGUCAAGAAAACCCGUGUUUCUUUGGAAAUUUUUAGAAACCGAAGCCGAAUGAUCGCCCUGAGAACAUCUUUGACAACACAAUCGGGUAAGUGGUGCCAGAAUGCAAGAAGAAAAAAUGAGAGGAUUAAGAAAAGACAGAAACAAACGCUCACACACAUCAUCAAGGCUGACAGAGUAAAUGGCCGCCGUCCAGCCUCAAGAUGAAACCUGCGUCGUCUUAAUGAAACAGGAAUGAAAAAGCACUUGAUGUGUGCUCGUGGCAGUUUCUCCGUCCCGUUGGAGCUUGUUAUUUAUUUAUUAAAGGACAGAACUAAAUGGAUAAUAAUUGAAUUUGUGCUGACGGUGUGUCUGCCUCGAUCACGCUACAUCUCAUAACCUCUACCGUCCUCCUGUGCUUCUACCUGGAAUCUGAUAAAUGGAAAACCGCUGCUUCCAGAGCUGCUAUGGAUUUUAAGAACACGUGAACAUACUGGCAUCAAGAGAAGGCAAAUAUGAAGCUAUUAGUAUGUUUAAACACUCUUUUGUUACGAUGCAGAGAAAAAUGCAGAUAACAAGACUGCUGGUUUGAAAAGCAUGUUUUCUUUUGCAAAAAUCUCCAAAAUCCUACCAUUUGUCCCAGAAAGACACUAUAAAAGCAAAAAAAAAGUUGAAUUUUCACCUUUUAGAUGAGCUAAUCAUGUGUGAGGUGGAGUUUUGUUGGGAAAAUUAUCUAACUCUGAGCUUAAAAUCUUCAAAUUUCUUCAAAAUUUGUUAAUUCUACAUGUCUCAAUUUAAAAAAUCACCUAAAAUAAAAACUUUGCUCUGACCAGAAUCUGUAAAAAACAAAAUAUUCUACGCUUCUGCCACAACUGUGGAGCUAUUAGUGAUUUUACUGUCAUCAACAGUGACAGGACAAAAAAUCAGGGAAUUUUUUUCUCAACCGUGUUGAACUGCAGGCAGUGUUUCCACAGAGCAUACAGAUGACAAGUACGGAAACUAAAUAAAUGUGGAAAUAAUGGCAUGUUCAUUUGUUUCUUCCGACUGUUGGUAACAGAUAUGGACACCUGGAAAAAUGUUGGACAUAUAGAUUCCAGGUUUUUGCAGUUUUUGUAGAAUAAAUAACUUCAGAAAUUCA